CGAAAGGCUUUUUAAAAAGCCACCUUCAAGUAUUUAAAAGUUCUGU
rfam:Pteropus alecto contig80392, whole genome shotgun sequence.